AGCGGAUCUUGGCGCGUUUUUUCAUAAUAAUUCGAAAGUGAAAAUGCGUCAAGAUUUGCUGC
rnacentral:pre_miRNA from 1 species